rnacentral:rRNA from 1 species
GAUGAACGCUGGCGGCGUGCCUAAUACAUGCAAGUCGAGCGAACAGACGAGGAGCUUGCUCCUCUGACGUUAGCGGCGGACGGGUGAGUAACACGUGGAUAACCUACCUAUAAGACUGGGAUAACUUCGGGAAACCGGAGCUAAUACCGGAUAAUAUAUUGAACCGCAUGGUUCAAUAGUGAAAGACGGUUUUGCUGUCACUUAUAGAUGGAUCCGCGCCGCAUUAGCUAGUUGGUAAGGUAACGGCUUACCAAGGCAACGAUGCGUAGCCGACCUGAGAGGGUGAUCGGCCACACUGGAACUUAGACACGGUCAAGACACCUACGGGAGGCAGCAGUAGGGAAGCUUCCGCAAUGGGCGAAAGCCUGACGGAGCAACGCCGCGUGAGUGAGGAAGGUCUUCGGAUCGUAAAACUCUGUUAUGAGGGAAGAACAAAGGGGUAAGUAACUAUGCACGUCUUGACGGUACCUAAUCAGAAAGCCAAGGCUAACUACGUG